rnacentral:rRNA from 1 species
AUUGAACGCUGGCGGCAUGCCUUACACAUGCAAGUCGAACGGCAGCACGGGAGCAAUCCUGGUGGCGAGUGGCGAACGGGUGAGUAAUAUAUCGGAACGUGCCCAGUCGUGGGGAUAACGCAGCGAAAGCUGUGCUAAUACCGCAUACGAUCUAAGGAUGAAAGCGGGGGAUCGCAAGACCUCGCGCGAUUGGAGCGGCCGAUAGCAGAUUAGCUAGUUGGUGGGGUAAAGGCCCACCAAGGCGACGAUCUGUAGCUGGUCUGAGAGGACGACCAGCCACACUGGAACUGAGACACGGUCCAGACUCCUACGGGAGGCAGCAGUGGGGAAUUUUGGACAAUGGGCGCAAGCCUGAUCCAGCAAUGCCGCGUGCAGGAUGAAGGCCUUCGGGUUGUAAACUGCUUUUGUACGGAACGAAACGGCCCUUUCUAAUACAGGGGGCUAAUGACGGUACCGUAAGAAUAAGCACCGGCUAACUACGUGCCAGCAGCCGCGGUAA